GCCCUUCUAGCUCAGUCGGUAGAGCGCAAGGCUCUUAACCUUGUGGUCUUGGGUUCCAGCCCCAAGGUGGGCG
rnacentral:tRNA from 1 species